rnacentral:misc_RNA from 1 species
AAAGUCGUAACAAGGUCUCCGUAGGUGAACCUGCGGAGGGAUCAUUAACACGAAUACACUUUGCUUUUUUCGAAAGAAAGAAGUGAAGUCGUUUUUCAAAACAACAAACCAAAACCGUGCACUGGAGUUCUUUAAUGAGCUCAUUUCUCCCUCAAUUUAGCGUUCACACAUGUAGUGUUAUCGUUUGCGUAUCUAUACCUAUUAAUAUAUGUGAUAGUGUCAUUUAUUUGAUACAUAUUAAUAAUCCUAGAUUGAUAAUACUACUUCGCUUUUUUGAGGACUAUCUUUUUUCGUAUCACGAAAUCAACAUAACCAACCCAUUUCACCCUAACCGUAUAAAUGUAUGACUGAUGUGAUUGAUAGAAGAAUUGAAAGAUUUUUCUUAUUCAAACACAAACUCGAUAUCAUCGACAACUAAAAGCACAACUCUUAGCAACGGAUAUCUUGGUUCUC